CCACCACUAGCUCAGUUGGAAAGAGUCGAUAACCAUUUAAGCUGUAGGUGCGAGGUUCGAAAUCUCGGUGGCGGUCCA
rnacentral:tRNA from 1 species